rnacentral:rRNA from 1 species
UACGGAGGGUGCAAGCGUUGCUCGGAAUUAUUGGGCGUAAAGAGCGUGUAGGCGGCUGGGUAGGUCUGCUGUGAAAACUCGAGGCUCAACCUCGAGACGUCGGCGGAAACCCUCCAGCUAGAGUCCGGAAGAGGAGAGUGGAAUUCCUGGUGUAGCGGUGAAAUGCGUAGAGAUCAUGAGGAAGACCAGUGGCGAAGGCGGGUCUCUGGACAGUUCCUGACACUGAGGCACGAAGGCCAGGGGAGCAAACGGG